GGAGCCAUGGCAUACUUGCAGUGGAGACGCAGGAGGUACCAGGACAUAAGCUGACCCAGGAGGACGUGACUUGUCUCCAGGUCUUUGGCUGAGGCUCUGCCAGCAAUGUGAAGAUGAGAUGGAGAGUCCACGAAAGGAGAAAAGAAAGGAGUCUCUCCUUUCUCCAAUGGCCAUUUCAUGUGUGUAAUAAAGCAGUGGAUAGCUUCCCUUGGCACUGUUUCAUGACCUGGAGGCCCCACAAACACACACCGGCAGUGCAGAAACUCAGUCUCCCAUAAAAUAAAACCAUAAAAUAAA